AUCAGUCUCUCUCUACCUCUGGAGGUGGAAUAUCAGGAUAAAAACACCUACAGCUGUGUGCUGAACAAUCCCAUCAGCCACCAGACUCAACAUCUGAACAUCACUCAACUCUGUCACACAUGUUCAGGUACGGCAGCGCUGAUGAUAUUAGCGUUUAUUGACUGAGCUGAUCUCACUUUGAUGUUUUUAUUCCUCAGUCCACUGUUGUGGUCCUACUGAAGCUGUGAUCCGAUUGGUCCUCUCUGCUCUGGUGGGCGUGGCUACUGUCAUUCUUGUGCUUUAUCACAUCAGAUCCAGAAGAGCUGAAGGAGAUCAAGCACAUAUUCACACAUCAGGAAGUGCUUAAAUCUGAAGCAGAACGCUGAACUUUAAAGGUUCUUCAAGUGUGUUUUUGUCAUAAUAAAUACUGAUGAUUAUUUGA